rnacentral:antisense_RNA from 2 species
CUUGAUCGACCCCAGCAGCAGCGGCCGGUCCUCGGGACGGUCCUGGCCGUACGUGGCGAGCAGCGCCUGGAGCUC